rnacentral:rRNA from 1 species
AGAGUUUGAUCAUGGCUCAGGAUGAACGCUAGCGGGAGGCCUAACACAUGCAAGCCGAGCGGUAUAGAAUCUUCGGAUUUUAGAGAGCGGCGUACGGGUGCGGAACACGUGUGCAACCUACCUUUAUCUGGAGGAUAGCCUUUCGAAAGGAAGAUUAAUACUCCAUAAUAUAUUGAUUGGCAUCAAUUAAUAUUGAAAGCUCCGGCGGAUAGAGAUGGGCACGCGCAAGAUUAGUUAGUUGGUGAGGUAACGGCUCACCAAGACGAUGAUCUUUAGGGGGCCUGAGAGGGUGAUCCCCCACACUGGUACUGAGACACGGACCAGACUCCUACGGGAGGCAGCAGUGAGGAAUAUUGGACAAUGGGUGCAAGCCUGAUCCAGCCAUCCCGCGUGAAGGACGACUGCCCUAUGGGUUGUAAACUUCUUUUGUAUAGGGAUAAACCUCUCCUCGUGAGGAGAGCUGAAGGUACUAUACGAAUAAGCACCGGCUAACUCCGUG